rnacentral:rRNA from 1 species
CGCGCAGGCGGCUGUUCAAGUCAGAUGUGAAAGCCCCGGGCUCAACCUGGGAACUGCAUUUGAGACUGGACGGCUUGAGUUCGGGAGAGGAGAGCGGAAUUCCCAGUGUAGAGGUGAAAUUCGUAGAUAUUGGGAAGAACACCGGUGGCGAAGGCGGCUCUCUGGACCGAUACUGACGCUGAGGCGCGAAAGCGUGGGGAUCAAACA